rnacentral:rRNA from 14 species
GGUGCCCAAGCAUGUACAGCGCCGUCAUCGUUUUCCCCCUCGCCGUCGGUUCUUCCUACCGUUGAGAUGCAAAAGUCCGAAAGUGUUGGGCUGCUCUCCCGCCAAAGGGAAAGUGGGCUGGGAUCGGACCGUCGUU